rnacentral:rRNA from 1 species
AGCAGCCGCGGUAAUUCCAGCUCCAAUAGCGUAUAUUAAAGUUGUUGCAGUUAAAAAGCUCGUAGUUGAAUUUCGGGAUCAAUAUGUCGGUCGUGCCUCGGUACGUACUGGCAUCAUUGGUUUCUCCCUUCUGAUGAACCAUAAUGCCAUUAAUUUGGUGUCGUGGGGAAUCAGGACUGUUACUUUGAAAAAUUAGAGUGUUUAAAGCAGGCUCACGCUUGAAUACAUUAGCAUGGAAUAAUGAAAUAGGACGUUUGAUUCUAUUUUGUUGGUUUCUAGGAUCGACGUAAUGAUUAAUAGGGAUAGUUGGGGGCAUUAGUAUUCAAUUGUCAGAGGUGAAAUUCUUGGAUUUAUUGAAGACUAACUACUGCGAAAGCAUUUGCCAAGGAUGUUUUCAUUAAUCAAGAACGAAAGUUAGGGGAUCGAAAACGAUCAGAUACCGUCGUAGUCUUAACCAUAAACUAUGCCGACUAGGGAUCGGAUGAUGUAAUUUUUAAUGACUCAUUC